rnacentral:rRNA from 1 species
UACGUAGGGUGCGAGCGUUAAUCGGAAUUGCUGGGCGUAAAGCGUGCGCAGGCGGUUCGUUGUGUCGGUGGUGAAAUCCCCGGGCUUAACCUGGGAAUGGCCAUGGAAACUGGCGAACUGGAGUGUGGCAGAGGGGGGUGGAAUUCCGCGUGUAGCAGUGAAAUGCGUAGAGAUGCGGAGGAACACCGAUGGCGAAGGCAGCCCCCUGGGCUAGCACUGACGCUCAGGCACGAAAGCGUGGGGAGCGAACGGG